ACCCUCUCAGGAUUGCACCUGGAGAGUUUCCAGUCCUCUACCAGUCUCAGCUAUGAGAGGGAGAGUCAAGCAGAGGCAUACCCAUUCCAUUCCUCGCUUGGCCGGUGGCUAGCGAGUGGAAGGCAAUCCACUACAAGU